UGACACUUUACUCCUCAAACUUUAAGUUGUUGUAAUAUUGGCCUCUAACUUUUACAAUUAUCGCAAUCAAAUCUAAUUCAAUUGACUAAAUAUUGAUAUACCGCUAAUGUAGAGGUGAUAUAGCAAUAUUGUAAUUGAUGAUUGCAUCAAUGAUGUGUUAAAAUUUAGUCAACUAAAUUAAAUUGUGGGACUUAAUUAUAAAAAUUUAAAAAAUUCAAGCUAAAUAUUAAAAUAAAUUAGAGUUUAAAAGUGUC
rnacentral:lncRNA from 1 species